UACGUAGGGUGCAAGCGUUGUCCGGAAUUAUUGGGCGUAAAGGGCUCGUAGGCGGUCCGUCACGUCGGCCUGUGGAAAACCCGGGGCUCAACCCCGGGCCUGCAGUCGAUACGGGCGGACUAGAGUUCGGCAGGGGAGACUGGAAUUCCUGGUGUAGCGGUGGAAUGCGCAGAUAUCAGGAGGAACACCGGUGGCGAAGGCGGGAUCCUGGGCCAGUACUGACGCUGAGGAGCGAAAGCGGUGGGGAGCAAACAGGG
rnacentral:rRNA from 1 species